rnacentral:sRNA from 1 species
GGGACGGGCCUUUCAGGCAUCCUCUCCCAAACUUUCGAAGGGCCGCCCAUCUGGUGCGGCCUUUUUUUUGCGCCUUG